rnacentral:rRNA from 1 species
CCUACGGGAGGCAGCAGUGAGGAAUAUUGGUCAAUGGACGAGAGUCUGAACCAGCCAAGUAGCGUGAAGGAUGACUGCCCUAUGGGUUGUAAACUUCUUUUAUAUGGGAAUAAAAUGUUCCACGUGUGGGAUUUUGUAUGUACCAUAUGAAUAAGGAUCGGCUAACUCCGUGCCAGCAGCCGCGGUAAUACGGAGGAUCCGAGCGUUAUCCGGAUUUAUUGGGUUUAAAGGGAGCGUAGGUGGAUUGUUAAGUCAGUUGUGAAAGUUUGCGGCUCAACCGUAAAAUUGCAGUUGAAACUGGCAGUCUUGAGUACAGUAGAGGUGGGCGGAAUUCGUGGUGUAGCGGUGAAAUGCUUAGAUAUCACGAAGAACUCCGAUUGCGAAGGCAGUUCACUGGACUGCAACUGACACUGAGGCUCGAAAGUGUGUGUAUCAAACAGGAUUAGAUACCCCAGUAGUC